AGUGAACGCUGGCGGUAGGCCUAACACAUGCAAGUCGAACGGCAGCACAGUAAGAGCUUGCUCUUACGGGUGGCGAGUGGCGGACGGGUGAGGAAUACAUCGGAAUCUACUUUUUCGUGGGGGAUAACGUAGGGAAACUUACGCUAAUACCGCAUACGACCUACGGGUGAAAGCAGGGGAUCUUCGGACCUUGCGCGAUUGAAUGAGCCGAUGUCGGAUUAGCUAGUUGGCGGGGUAAAGGCCCACCAAGGCGACGAUCCGUAGCUGGUCUGAGAGGAUGAUCAGCCACACUGGAACUGAGACACGGUCCAGACUCCUACGGGAGGCAGCAGUGGGGAAUAUUGGACAAUGGGCGCAAGCCUGAUCCAGCCAUACCGCGUGGAGGAAGAAGGCCUUCGGGUUGUAAAGCCCUUUUGUUGGGAAAGAAAAGCAGCAGGUUAAUACCCCGCUGUUCUGACGGUACCCAAAGAAUAAGCACCGGCUAACUUCGUG
rnacentral:rRNA from 1 species